rnacentral:tRNA from 1 species
CAAGAAAUAGUUUAAAAAAUAUUAAUUUUGGAGAUUAAAGAUAGAGCAGUGCUUUUUUCUUGA